rnacentral:rRNA from 1 species
GACGAUGACGUUGAUAGGCCGGGUGUGUAAGCGCAGCGAUGCGUUGAGCUAACCGGUACUAAUGAACCGUGAGGCUUAACCUCACAACCCGAAGAUG